AUUCCCUCAACUCCAAUUCCUAGAUAUGUAUAUGUGUGAUGCGGAGGAGUUACAAGUGGAAGAAGGAGGAAUGCCUUUGUUGAAGGGAUUGGUAGUUACUGGCUCUGUUAAGAUCCCAGAGAGACUAAAAUCCUUCCCUGCGAUUCCUUGGCAUGGUAUUGGUGAUUGGGCUUACUAAAGUAAUCGUAGUAUCCAGUGAAAAGAAGCUUUUAUUGUGUUUCAGUUGAUAAGCUAAUGAAGCCUACAUAUGGUGCAGUAGUGAAAGGCAUUGUGUGGAUUUUCUUUCUCUUUUUCUUCUUUUUCUAC
rnacentral:lncRNA from 1 species